AGUAUAAUUCGAACAAUUCAUAAAUUUGUUUGAAAAUGAAAAUGAAGUGUAGUGCACAUAUUGAGUUGAAUUUUUAUUCAAUGUAUGGCGGCUUAGGGUUUAGCUUAAUUUUUUUUUCCCAUGUGUCGAUUUAGUUACGAAUAGAAGAAAGACGUCUCAUUGUGAUAAAUGAUGGGUGUUGCUUGUUAUGAAAAGAAGAAAGAUCUGGUUUGACUCAGAAUUAGCUACUGAGAUUAAUUAGUAGUUGAUGAAUACGCUACAGGAUGCUGUGAUUCUCGGAGCAACUGAAGGCUGAGUAUCUUAGAAAUUCAAUUCUUGAUUCAUAUAUUUGCUAAUUAGUAGGUGUUAAGUAUCGACUCAUUGUGUCAAAAAUAUCUACUAGUACUGAUAUUUUGUCUUGUUUUGUAUGAUUGUGCCAUUUCAUAGGCAUGGUUUAGUUCCCAGCUGAAGCUGCACUUAAACUUGCUGCUAUGGGUGUUCUUGACUCUUGAGUCUAGAGGGAUGAAGGAAUUGAAAUGGUUGCUGAUGCUAUCUGCUCUGGGAUAUUUAAUGAUCUUGGCAGCGCCAACAACGUUGAUGGAAGCGAGACUGCUCAUUGCCAAAUCCCCACACAUAUGUUUGAGAAGGGCUAUUUGAGAAACCGGCAAGUGUCUUCUUGUCUGACUAGCUAGCGAAGCUCAGGGGUGCUCUGCGUAUGUGAGUCGAUCUUAAGCAUUAGUCGACCCCUGCAAUGGUUUCAUUCAGGCGACAUAAUCUUCAAGACUAGCAGCAGUUGAUGGCUAAGGAUACAGCUUUAUUCUGGUUGUGAUGAUGCUCCUGCAAAUCGGACAGUCUUCGAGGUACACUCCACACUCACAACAGCCAAAAGCCAUGUCUUUCACGUUGCUGAGGCAUAUGGGACAGAUCUAUUCAAGAAAACACAAUCCCAGCUCAUAAACACAAGCUUAAAACAGAUAUGGAUUGUCAGAAUCACAAGACACCAUGUUUAGGAGGA